rnacentral:rRNA from 1 species
AAGGACGCGUAGGCGGAUUAUCAAGUCUUUUGUGAAAUCUAACAGCUUAACUGUUAAACUGCUUGAGAAACUGAUAAUCUAGAGUGAGGGAGAGGCAGAUGGAAUUGGUGGUGUAGGGGUAAAAUCCGUAGAGAUCACCAGGAAUACCCAUUGCGAAGGCGAUCUGCUGGAACUCAACUGACGCUAAUGCGUGAAAGCGUGGGGAGCAAACAGGAUUAGAUACCCUGGUAGUCCACGCCCUAAACGAUGUAUACUAGUUGUUGCUGUGCUAGUCACGGCAGUAAUGCACCUAACGGAUUAAGUAUACCGCCUGGGGAGUACGGUCGCAAGAUUAAAACUCAAAGGAAUAGACGGGGACCCGCACAAGCGGUGGAGCAUGUGGUUUAAUUCGAAGAUACGCGAAGAACCUUACCUGGGCUUGAUAUCCAACUAAUCUCUUAGAGAUAAGAGAGUGCUAGCUUGCUAGAAAGUUGAGACAGGUGCUGCACGGCUGUCGUCAGCUCGUGUCGUGAGAUGUUGGGUUAAGUCCCGCAACGAGCGCAACCCACGUAUUUAGUUGCUAACAGUUCGGCUGAGCACUCUAAAUAGACUGCCUUCGCAAGGAGGAGGAAGGUGUGGACGACGUCAAGUCAUCAUGGCCCUUAUGCCCAGGGCGACACACGUGCUACAAUGGCAUAUACAAUGAGAUGCAAUAUCGCGAGAUGGAGCAAAUCUAUAAAAUAUGUCCCAGUUCGGAUUGGAGUCUGCAACUCGACUCCAUGAAGCCGGAAUCGCUAGUAAUCGUAGAUCAGCCAUGCUACGGUGAAUACGUUCCCGGGUCUUGUACUCACCGCCCGUCACACCAUGGGAGUUGAUUUCACUCGAAGUCGGAAUGCUAAACUAGCUACCGCCCACAGUGGAAUCAGCGACUGGGG